ACGAACGCUGGCGGCGCGCCUAACACCUGCCAGUCGAACGAGCGAGAGAGAGCUUGCUUUCUCGAGCGAGUGGCGAACGGGUGAGUAACGCGUGAGGAACCUGCCUCAAAGAGGGGGACAACAGUUGGAAACGACUGCUAAUACCGCAUAAGCCCACGACCCGGCAUCGGGUAGAGGGAAAAGGAGCAAUCCGCUUUGAGAUGGCCUCGCGUCCGAUUAGCUAGUUGGUGAGGUAACGGCCCACCAAGGCGACGAUCGGUAGCCGGACUGAGAGGUUGAACGGCCACAUUGGGACUGAGACACGGCCCAGACUCCUACGGGAGGCAGCAGUGGGGAAUAUUGCACAAUGGGGGAAACCCUGAUGCAGCGACGCCGCGUGGAGGAAGAAGGUCUUCGGAUUGUAAACUCCUGUUGUUGAGGAAGAUAAUGACGGUACUCAACAAGGAAGUGACGGCUAACUACGUG
rnacentral:rRNA from 1 species